AUGCUUAUUUUGGCAGCACGUUUACUAAAAUUGAACACAGACAAGAUUAGCAUGACCCCCCUGGAGAAGGAUGAUAGUCAUAAAGCAUUCCAUUUUUAA
rnacentral:snRNA from 1 species